CCUACGGGUGGCAGCAGUGGGGAAUAUUGGACAAUGGGCGAAAGCCUGAUCCAGCCAUGCCGCGUGUGUGAAGAAGGCCUUCGGGUUGUAAAGCACUUUCAGUGGGGAAGAAAGCCUUGGGGCUAAUACCCUCGAGGAAGGACAUCACCAACAGAAGAAGCACCGGCUAACUCCGUGCCAGCAGCCGCGGUAAUCCGGAGGGUGCGAGCGUUAAUCGGAAUUACUGGGCGUAAAGGGCGCGUAGGCGGUCUGAUAAGCCGGUUGUGAAAGCCCCGGGCUCAACCUGGGAACGGCAUCCGGAACUGUCAGGCUAGAAUGCAGGAGAAGAAGGUAGAAUUCCCGGUGUAGCGGUGAAAUGCGUAGAGAUCGGGAGGAAUACCAGUUGCGAAGGCGGCCUUCUGGACUGACACUGACGCUGAGGUGCGAAAGCGUGGGUAGCAAACAGGAUUAGAUACCCGUGUAGUC
rnacentral:rRNA from 1 species